rnacentral:rRNA from 1 species
UCGUAACAAGGUUUCCGUAGGUGAACCUGCGGAAGGAUCAUUACCGAGAGCACCUCUUCGCGGCAGCAAUGCUUCGUCGAGAGGCUAUUCUCACACCCCAUUUUAUACGUACCUCUUGUUCUUCCUCGGCAGGGUAACCUGCCGAUGGAACCUCAUCACACCCUUUUGCAUCUAGCAUUACCCGUUCUGAUAACCUAAAUCGUUACAACUUUUAACAAUGGAUCUCUUGGCUCUGGCAUCGAUGAAGAACGCAGCGAAAUGCGAUAAGUAGUGUGAAUUGCAGAAUUCAGUGAAUCAUCGAAUCUUUGAACGCACAUUGCGCCCCUUGGUAUUCCGAGGGGCAUGCCUGUUCGAGCGUCAUCUACACCCUCAAGCACUGCUUGGUGAUGGGCGUCUGUCCCGCCUCUGCGCGUGGACUCGCCCCAAAGGCAUUGGCAGCGGUCCUGACCGCCUCUCGCGCAGCACAUUUGCGCGUCUCGAGCGACGGGUCCGCAUCCACGAAGCUCUUUACCCAUUUUGACCUCGGAUCAGGUAGGGAUACCCGCUGAACUUAAGCAUAUCAAUAAGCGGAGGAAAAGAAACCAACAGGGAUUGCCCUAGUAACGGCGAGUGAAGCGGCAACAGCUCAAAUUUGAAAUCUGGCCCUCUUUGGGGGUCCGAGUUGUAAUUUGCAGAGGGUGCUUUGGCAUUGGCGGCGGUCUAAGUUCCUUGGAACAGGACAUCGCAGAGGGUGAGAAUCCCGUACGUGGGCGCCUGCCUUUGCCGUGUAAAGCCCCUUCGACGAGUCGAGUUGUUUGGGAAUGCAGCUCUAAAUGGGAGGUAAAUUUCUUCUAAAGCUAAAUACUGGCCAGAGACCGAUAGCGCACAAGUAGAGUGAUCGAAAGAUGAAAAGUACUUUGGAAAGAGAGUCAAACAGCACGUGAAAUUGUUAAUAGGGAAGCGCUUGCAGCCAGACUUGCCCGUAGUUGCUCACCCAGGCUCAUGCCCGGGGCACUCUUCUGCGGGCAGGCCAGCAUCAGUUUGGGCGGUUGGAUAAAGGCCUCUGUCACGUAUCUCCCUUCGGGGUGACCUUAUAGGGGAGGCGCAAUGCAACCAGCCCGGACUGAGGUCCGCGCUUCGGCUAGGAUGCUGGCGUAAUGGCUGUAAGCGGCC